rnacentral:rRNA from 1 species
GACGAACGCUGGCGGCGUGCCUAAUACAUGCAAGUAGAACGCUGAAGGAGGAGCUUGCUUCUCCGGAUGAGUUGCGAACGGGUGAGUAACGCGUAGGUAACCUGCCUUGUAGCGGGGGAUAACUAUUGGAAACGAUAGCUAAUACCGCAUAAGAGUAGAUGUCGCAUGACAUUUGCUUAAAAGGUGCAACUGCACCACUACCAGAUGGCCCUGCGUUGUAUUAGCUAGUUGGUGAGGUAACGGCUCACCAAGGCAACGAUACAUAGCCGACCUGAGAGGGGGAUCGGCCAAAACGGGAAUGAGAACAGGGCCAGAACCCUAAGGGAGGCAGCAGUAGGGGAACUUCGGCAAAGGACGGAAGUCUGAACGAGCAACGCCGGGUGAGUGAAGAAAGUGUUCGGAUCGUAAAGCUCUGUUGUAAGGGAAGAAAGAGUGGGAGAGUGGAAAGUUCACACUGUGACGGUAUCUAAACAGAAAGGGACGGCUAACUACGUG